CCCACAGGAAGCUGCCUGCAAAUUCAGGGAGCCCUUCUGAGUCUUAACGAGGUCUUGAAUAUACUUUCAGAGAAAUGCCAGCAAAAACUGUAGUCAUUUGGGGAAGAAUAAGUCUGGAAGAAAAAUACACAGAGGACUAGCACCAAGAGGGUUCGAGCCCCGAGUCAGGCCCUGCACUCACAGUGCCACCCAGACACCCCUGCAGCUUCCAGCUUUCAAGUGAAUAAGAUGUGUGCCCAACACCACCCAGCCAACAAGGAACAAAGCCAGGAUUUAAAUUUAGACAGUUGCAGCUCAGAGCCUACAUUCUUUUUCCUCACCCUGAGGGGAAGCGGGAGAAGGAGUGUUUGUGUUUGGGUGGGGGGUGGGAUUUGAACGUAGAUAGAUAUAUAUUAUCUUAUAUCCAAGAUCAAUCUGUCUCUUCUUCCUCUGCCUUCUACGACAUCCUUACUCAUCUACUCGAGGACGUUAUAACUGCUGUGUCACAAAUCACCUCAAAACUUGGUGGCUUAAGACAACAAUCAUACAGCAUUGCUCACAAAUCUAAAGGUAAGCUGGAUGUUUCUGCUCGCGUGGGCCAGUGUGGCUAAUUAUAGCUGUAUUCACUCACAUGACCAGCUGGAGGCUUGCCUGGGACAGAAUGGUCUAGAAUAGACUUACAUGUCUGGAAAUCAGCCUAAUGUCAGCUGGGUAACAAAAGUGGCUAGUCCAUGUGUCACUCAUCAUCUAGAACAUCCGUGAGUGAUUACAGGGUCCCCCCCCAAGGGCCAAAAGGGAGCGAGCCUCUGUGUGCAAGCACUUUACAUGUCUCUGUUUGCCUCACAAGUGUUAUUGUCCCAUUCUUCAAGCACAGUCACGGUCAGGCCCAGAGUCACCAAAGGGAACCACAACUACAAAAGCCUACAGACUUUGAUGAAUUAUAUAUCACCCCUUCUCUUUGAUCUCUCCCAUUCUACUGACUCCUUCCCUUUAUCUACCAGCUUGGUAUAAUAUACCAUUUUAGAACAUUUCCCUCCAAUCCCAUUAUCCCCUGAGGUACUAUGUAGCUGAGUCCAUGAGUAUUAGUGAUUGACUGAAUCACUGAAAGUUCUCUGAACUGACUUCCAUAGAAAACAAUGAUAAUGAAAGGAUGAGGUAGUUCAAAAAUAUACAAUUACCACAAUAAUUGUUAAAGAAAUUAGACAAAAGACUUUGAUUCAGGGAGGAAUAUUGUUUAGAAAUGUUAGCGUAGGGUGAUAAUAAGGAAGCAGAAUGACUUUUAGUUGGUUAUCUUUCUGUUUUUAAAGUCUCUCUAGACAAUGCACCCCACGUUACCUGUGCCUGAGAAAGAUGCUCCCACUGCUUGGUCCUUGCACACCAGCACACCAUGUUCUUUCUCCUGAGCCUUAGUGAGGGUGCAAGACAUUUAACCCUGAAGUUUCAUCACCUUUUAUAUCUCAGUAUGUUUUUAAAAAUGACAAAAAACACCCUAAUUUUUCUCUGGCUUUCCCGAAGCUCCAUUUAAAGGCAUAUAUACUUUCAGCUUUAUGAGAGAGUACAUAACUGCCCUGUGCUUUUCCAGCACCGUGUGAGAGUUUCCAUUGCCCCACAUCCUU